rnacentral:rRNA from 1 species
GCCGGAGGGAAACCGAGUCUUAAUUGGGCGUUAAGUUGCAGGGUAUAGACCCGAAACCCGGUGAUCUAGCCAUGGGCAGGUUGAAGGUUGGGUAACACUAACUGGAGGACCGAACCGACUAAUGUUGAAAAAUUAGCGGAUGACCUGUGGCUGGGGGUGAAAGGCCAAUCAAACCGGGAGAUAGCUGGUUCUCCCCGAAAGCUAUUUAGGUAGCGCCUCGUGAAUUCAUCUCCGGGGGUAGAGCACUGUUUCGGCUAGGGGGCCAUCCCGGCUUACCAACCCGAUGCAAACUGCGAAUACCGGAGAAUGUUAUCACGGGAGACACACGGCGGGUGCUAACGUCCGUCGUGAAGAGGGAAACAACCCAGACCGCCAGCUAAGGUCCCAAAGUCAUGGUUAAGUGGGAAACGAUGUGGGAAGGCCCAGACAGCCAGGAUGUUGGCUUAGAAGCAGCCAUCAUUUAAAGAAAGCGUAAUAGCUCACUGGUCGAGUCGGCCUGCGCGGAAGAUGUAACGGGGCUAAACCAUGCACCGAAGCUGCGGCAGCGACGCUGAUGCGUUGUUGGGUAGGGGAGCGUUCUGUAAGCCUGCGAAGGUGGCCUGUGAGGGUUGCUGGAGGUAUCAGAAGUGCGAAUGCUGACAUAAGUAACGAUAAAGCGGGUGAAAAGCCCGCUCGCCGGAAGACCAAGGGUUCCUGUCCAACGUUAAUCGGGGCAGGGUGAGUCGACCCCUAAGGCGAGGCCGAAAGGCGUAGUCGAUGGGAAACGGGUUAAUAUUCCCGUACUUGGUGUUACUGCGAAGGGGGGACGGAGAAGGCUAUGUUGGCCGGGCGACGGUUGUCCCGGUUUAAGCGUGUAGGUGUGUGUUCCAGGUAAAUCCGGUU